AGAGUUUGAUCAUGGCUCAGGAUGAACGCUAGCUACAGGCUUAACACAUGCAAGUCGAGGGGCAGCAUCAUCAAAGCUUGCUUUGAUGGAUGGCGACCGGCGCACGGGUGAGUAACACGUAUCCAACCUGCCGACAACACUGGGAUAGCCUUUCGAAAGAAAGAUUAAUACCGGAUGGCAUAAUUAUUCCGCAUGGGAUAAUUAUUAAAGAAUUUCGGUUGUCGAUGGGGAUGCGUUCCAUUAGGCAGUUGGCGGGGUAACGGCCCACCAAACCUACGACGGAUAGGGGUUCUGAGAGGAAGGUCCCCCACAUUGGAACUGAGACACGGUCCAAACUCCUACGGGAGGCAGCAGUGAGGAAUAUUGGUCAAUGGACGAGAGUCUGAACCAGCCAAGUAGCGUGAAGGAUGACUGCCCCAUGGGUUGUAAACUUCUUUUAUACGGGAAUAAAGUGAGCCACGUGUGGCUUUUUGUAUGUACCGUAUGAAUAAGGAUCGGCUAACUCCGUGCCAGCAGCCGCGGUAAUACGGAGGAUCCGAGCGUUAUCC
rnacentral:rRNA from 1 species